UACACUCCUGCGGGAGGCAGCAGUGGGGAAUUUUGGACAAUGGGCGAAAGCCUGAUCCAGCAAUGCCGCGUGUGUGAAGAAGGCCUUCGGGUUGUAAAGCACUUUUGUCCGGAAAGAAAUCCUUGGCUCUAAUACAGUCGGGGGAUGACGGUACCGGAAGAAUAAGCACCGGCUAACUACGUGCCAGCAGCCGCGGUAAUACGUAGGGUGCGAGCGUUAAUCGGAAUUACUGGGCGUAAAGCGUGCGCAGGCGGUUUGCUAAGACCGAUGUGAAAUCCCCGGGCUCAACCUGGGAACUGCAUUGGUGACUGGCAGGCUAGAGUAUGGCAGAGGGGGGUAGAAUUCCACGUGUAGCAGUGAAAUGCGUAGAGAUGUGGAGGAAUACCGAUGGCGAAGGCAGCCCCCUGGGCCAAUACUGACGCUCAUGCACGAAAGCGUGGGGAGCAAACAGGAUUAGAAACCCUGGUAGUCC
rnacentral:rRNA from 1 species